rnacentral:rRNA from 1 species
AUGGACGGCCAGAAGAUCCCAGGUUCUGUCAGGCUGGCCUGCGGAUGGGCGCUCCUCAGCGCCUGCGCCAUCUCCUUGGGCCACUACCAACUCCCCUGCAGCGUCAUCUCCGUUCUGCGGUACCGGUGCGAUGAGCUGACGGACACCAAGGCCGCCUACUUUAGCGCCCUCUGGAUCGGAACUUUGUGCUGCGCUGGAUCCCAGGCAACCGCGGCGGCGCUGUUGCUGCUGCUCCCACGCCGACCCCGCUGUGUACACCGUGUACUGGCCUACGCCUACCUCACGGUCGCGGUCGCCUGCGGCGCCGGCCACUGCAUGUACAACGGCGCCAUCCUCAUCCUCCGCCCUGCAGGAGUCUACUUCGCCGUCGUCAGGAUCCUGUUCAUGGUGGGCGACAUCAUCUGGACCACGGCUCUCUGCCUGGAAGGUACUUCAGUGUGCCCGAGAUGCCGGAAUGAUGCGGGUCAUCUUCGAAACUGA